UACGUAGGGUGCGAGCGUUGUCCGGAAUUAUUGGGCGUAAAGGGCUCGUAGGCGGUUUGUCGCGUCGGGAGUGAAAACCUUGGGCUUAACUCAGGGCUUGCUUUCGAUACGGGCAGACUAGAGGUAUGCAGGGGAGAACGGAAUUCCUGGUGUAGGUGAAAUGCGCAGAUAUCAGGAGGAACACCGGUGGCGAAGGCGGUUCUCUGGGCAUGAUCUGACGCUGAGGAGCGAAAGUGUGGGGAGCGAACAGG
rnacentral:rRNA from 1 species